GCCGGGAUGGCGGAAUAGGUAGACGCAACGGACUUAAAAUCCGUUGAGACGUAAGUCUCGUGCGGGUUCGAGCCCCGCUCCCGGUA
rnacentral:tRNA from 2 species